rnacentral:sRNA from 1 species
CCUUAACGAAUAGAAGGUGUUUUUUAAAGUUAGCGCAGGCUCGCCAAGAGCCACCCCUAAGCCCAGAACAAUGCGGAUUCGUUCUGGGCAUUUUUUU